CGAUUAUCAGAGCACAGGAAAGCUGUUUGGUCACAAAAUACCUUGUGGAUUCCAGUUGCAAAGUGUCCAUUCCUUGUUUUGGUUUGUUUCAACUUCUUGGAAGCUGCUGUGCAAAGCUAAAACAUCCUCCUGCAUUCAGGUGACAUUGUUCUACUCGCCAAACCUGUAACUUUAACAGAGGGUGACAGGGUGACCUUGACGACAGAUGUUCCUGUGGCAACAGAUGGCACUAGCAAACCCGAGAAGCUGCUGUACGCCGUCUCCGUGCCACCUGUGCAUGGUCAGAUUGAGCACAUCAAUUAUCCCGGCGUGCCCAUUCCCAGACACAGACGGUUGGAUGUGGUGGCCCAGAAGGUCCCCUCUAUCCAUGACAAUAGCCAUGAGGCCGGGAAGGAGCCACUCAGGAGAAUUGCCCAUCCAUCUUUACACCGGGAGGCAAAGAUCUCUCUAAAUUGUGAAUGUUGGGCAGACGUUCUCUUCAAGUUUUCUGUGGAAAAGAAUGAGUCAAAAUGCAUAUACUUUAUUUAUUAAAAAAAAAAAAAAAAAAGGCAAGAGAAAAGCAGUUUUGCUUGUAAGUUUCCAUUUGCAAUUCUUUUUUAUGAUCUUUUCUCCUCCCUGAACACAUGUAUGAAAUGGAACCAAUUCGUUGCUUGCUGGGAAGGGGUUACUUCUUGUGUUGUGUUAUGGGCCAAAGAUUGGCAGCUGGUUUAAAUCAGUAUAUCUACAUUUGCUGAAAGGAUGCUGCAGCCGUUUUAAGUGGCUCUGCGGCGUAUAAAGUUAGUUCAUAAAGUUGCUGAGAAGUUCUCUUUCCUAAUGAUCUCUGUGGUCACAAGGGCUCAUCUCUCCUUUCAGGGGACCACUGAGUAUUCUGCCAACUGGAGGUGAUGGGGAGCAUCACCCUUCUUUUGU
rnacentral:lncRNA from 1 species